rnacentral:rRNA from 1 species
UCUCCUACGGGACGCAGCAGUGAGGAAUAUUGGUCAAUGGGCGGAAGCCUGAACCAGCCAAGUCGCGUGAGGGAAUAAGGCCCUACGGGUCGUAAACCUCUUUUGCCGGGGAGCAAGGGCCGGGACGAGUCCCGGUCCGGAGAGUACCCGGAGAAAAAGCAUCGGCUAACUUCGUGCCAGCAGCCGCGGUGAUACGGAGGAUGCGAGCGUUAUCCGGAUUUAUUGGGUUUAAAGGGUGCGUAGGCGGGCUUUUAAGUCAGCGGUAAAAAUUCGGGGCUCAGCCCCGACCGGCAGUUGAAACUGGG